rnacentral:rRNA from 1 species
AGCUCCAAUAGCGUAUAUUAAAGUUGUUGCAGUUAAAAGCUCGUAGUUGGAUUUCUGAUUGAGACAUCAGGUCGGGUUCGAGAGAAUCAUGUACUUUGAUUUGUUUUGAUCAUCCUUGGAGAGAGCAGUUCUGGCAUUAGGUUGUCGGGGUUGGGAUCUUCAUCGUUUACUGUGAAAAAUUAGAGUGUUCAAAGCAGGCCUCGGCCUCUGAAUACAUUAGCAUGGAAUAAUAAGAUAGGACUUUGGUGGUCUAUUUUGUUGGUUUGCACGCCAAAGUAAUGAUUAAUAGGGAUAGUUGGGGGUAUUCGUAUUCAAUUGUCAGAGGUGAAAUUCUUGGAUUUAUGGAAGACGAACUACUGCGAAAAGCAUUUACCAAGGAUGUUUUC